rnacentral:misc_RNA from 1 species
GUACGAGAUGCCGAGCGACUGGGAACGAAUCGUCGCUGCGCCAGUCGUCCUCCUGCUACGGCCAUCGCCUCGAGCACCCUGCCCUUUGACGGGUACGCCGGGUUGG